GCCGCACUCAAGCAGAGGUUUCCUCACGUCCAAUCGGAGGCUGUGGAGCUCCAGGACGGCGCCGCCACGCAGCCCCCCAGGCAAGCACAGCCCAGGCUGAGGUUCUUGCGGGGCGGGGUGGUAAGCGCCGUGCACCCCAGCUCCACCCUGCCUCCUCUGAGGGAGCCCACGCAGAUGCUGGAGUCCAGGCCCAACACGACUCACACGUUCUGGUCAGACUCGCUCAUGAAGAGCUCUUUCAGUCCGGCAGACUUCGCCAGCAGUGUGAGGGGGCUGAGAGCUCCACUUCCAGGUAAGUCCUCCUGUCAGACAGCUAGCGACUUCGGGCGUGGCUUGGACACAAGGUGUUACACGAAGUUUAGAUGCCAGCUUCAUCUCAAUCCUUCAAAAGCUGCAUUCACGUUGCAAUAUGAGCACCGACCUGAACGUUCCUUCAAACGCCCACCAAGGACAAACAUAGCUGAAGGUUCGCACUGAAAAACCCUGUUCACUGAAAAAACCCUGCAUUAAAAUUAACAAUGACGUGCUGUCCUUGUGUAGCCUUGUGUUUGGCAUUUAUUUGCUCGCGUCACAUAAAAAAUUGAUAUAAAAAUCGCAAAAAAUGACAGCAGAAAUGACGACUCAUUUCCCUUAAAUGAUGUGGAUGCUACAUCGUGGCUGCCUUUCACUGGAGGCCUUCAGCAGUGCACUUAUCUGGGCCGAUGAAGCACUUCUGAUUAGAUAUUGAAUCCCGCCUCUUGAAUAAUUUUUGGCCCAGCUUGCGCACUCGGCCGAUUAUUUAUUUAUUUGUUUGUUUCUGCACCGAAACACGGAGCCCACGCGCUACACACCCGGCAUGCGGAGUAGGGGGAUUACUUUAGAGUGCAAAGGCUUUUUGUACCUCCUGACUGAAUGGGGUUGAAUAUGACUUGCUGAUGACCGAAAAGCAUUGCAUUCUGGGUAGCUGAAUGCGGCGGCUGCAGCAAGUAUGGCUUUAGAGCUGCUAUUAAUAAUGUUGAAAUCCAAGCUCCCCGAGUCACAGAUAGUAGACGGUCUGACCUCAACUCUGCCGGCGCCUUUCUCUGGACGCAGAGGCACUCAGGUGAACGCCUGUGGGUCACAUUACUCAAACUGCGUCACAACCACAGGGGACUGUUCACGCAUGGGUGUCACCGGCUUCAGCAUGGGCAUCACCUCCUCCAUGUCCAGCGGCUUCUCCGAGUGCGCCACCCCACCCCGCCGACGAGCCCUCGCCCCGCCUCCCGCUGAGGCCGAGGGUCCACAGCAUCAGCGGAAAGCCUUCAGCCGCUUCCCUGGGAACGGGAGGAAGAAGGUCCUAAUGACUUAAAGAUCCCUGCACACUGGGCUUUGUUGAUCGACAAUCCUUGGCUGAUGUGUUUUUCCCAGGGCGAAUUCAGAGGCUCCAAUAUGCCGACGAAAUAAACCACCACAUCGUCAUCA
rnacentral:lncRNA from 1 species